GGAUUAAAUAUGAACCUUGUUUAUGCCAGGUAUAAUAAUAUCUUCUUUUAAGAAUCAUAAAAUUAGAGUAAUAAGAAUUUCUGUUAUUAGUAGAAAUGAUAGUACAAGUGACUGUGGUUUAAAUUAUACCACUGAGAAUUAGCAAAUAUUAUCAAGAAAAUAGACACACGGCCCUUCAGUCCGCCAGUCAUGACUCAAUGUUAUAAGUACACACUUUUUUACUAUGACAAAAUUGAAUUUUGGCAUGGUUUGUAUUAUUUCGUCAAGUUAGAUAAACUCCAUUGAGGGUGCAGACAGUGGAUCAUUUUGAUACAGCUUGUUUGAUAUAACUAUGUCAACAUUAUUAAGAGCCGUGAAAACUAAAAACCCCCUUGCUUCGUGAAAAGUAAAAUACGAUGAAAAAAUCCUUCCAUUUUUAUCAUUGUAGUUUGUAGUUAAGCGAACGAACUUUUACUUUAGAGUAUAAAUAUACAGGCUUAGGCACAGGUUAUAGUUUCAGUAGAACCAAAGAAGUUUCAAAAAUUCGGAGUAGAUAAGCAUUUAUUUGAUUAUGCUUGUGAUCAUAAGAGAAAACCACCGUUGCGCCAUACACGUUAAUUGGUAUAUAUUUACCAAAAUAACUAAAAACUUCAAGAAUGUUUGAAAAUUGGAGUAGACAGAGAGCAGCACGAUCAUUUUAAAGCUCGGCCAUUUUUUGUUUUUACUUUUGUUUUUUAUGCUGGUUAUAAAAAUUGAUGCCAUUGCCGCUUUCUUAUCUAAAGACUCAAAUGAGCCAACUUACAUUUUAAAAGUCCAAGGUAAAGAAACUGCUGAAAAUGAUGUAAAAGAUGGUCAUAUUAUAACUAGUUAAUUUUUUGCAUGAUUGAUAGGAUAUUCUAGGCAAAUAAAAGUGUACAAAAGUUUAGACUCCAACUCAUCACGGUACGACAGAUAACACACUGGGCCCUAGGCUCUUUUUGGACCUAAAAAUUGCAGCGCCUCUCAAAUCAUAUCUCAAAUUUUUCCAGUCAUUUUUUUUCAAUUAUUUAUCAUUAUAAGGUGCUUUGAAACUGAAAUUUGGUACCCCCAUAGUUUUUGAAGAAUUAAAAAAUAACGUUAAAAUUAGUGUACAAUAUACAGAUCUUUAGAUAUAGUCCAGUCUUUAAGUGUUUCGACCUGGAAAAAAUGAUAUAGAGCUGAAACUUAGCACACUUGCUCCAUUUUACAUGUAGAUUACCAGAAAAAAAGCUCCAUUGAUAGCAUUUGUAGAAAAUGAGAUAUGCGCCAUUUUUAAAAAUGGCGAACUUUAUAAUUUUUCAGAAAACGAAAGUUGGUAAAUUUGAAAACUAAUUAAACUGUUGAAAAGAACUUUCGAUUUGGAACAAAAAAUAUUAUUACACCAACUUACAAAAAUCAUUAUUUUAAGUGUUUUAAGUUCUUUUUAAUCAAGGGGGUUAGUGGGGAAAGGUAGAUAUAUAGAUAUUCAGAUCUAUUUUUAGUUUUUUUUUCAGUUAUAUUUUUCUUAUAAAAGGUCAGAAAAUAAGUUUGCUUUAUUUAUAUCCCAGACUUUUCGAAUCAUUUAGAAUUUAUCAAAUUCCAGUUUCGAAUGUUUACGUUUAUUUAGUGAUUAAAAGACUGUACACGUAGAAAACGGAAGAUAUGAUAGAGAAGAUACACAUGAUUUCUGAAAAAGCAAUUUCAAGAGCAUUGCGUGCACAUUUUCUUGCUGAGUCUGCAUUGGUGACAAUACUUACGGAAGAGAUUGUUGGUUGCAACGAUGACUUCUCUAUGAACUUCAAAGAUAGAAAAGAAAUUGUACAGAAGUUGAAUUCUGAUGAACUUGCAACUUUUGGUAGAGUGUUUGAUGAAAAAACCAAUACUCUCUACUUGAAGUCUUGAACCGCAAAAUUGUGGAUAUCAUACUUAAAAUACAUUGCAACAAUCAAGAAGUAUAGCAUUGCAGAAAAGACGUCUAACUGGCCACGCCUUCUCGAAGCUACCAAGGAAAUGUUAAACUUGUUUGCAGCCAAGGGACAUAUUAAUUAUGCCAAGAAUGCAUGACUGAACCUUCAACAAAUGGUUGCCCUCCAGCGAAAAAAUCCUUGGCUCCAUCAGAAAUUUUAACAAGGUUCACAUGCCGUUAUAAGAUCCAACCGGUACUGGGCAGGUUUAUGGUCUGACCUUGUGAUCGAACAGGCUCUCAUGAGAUUAAUCAAAACCAGAGGAGAACUCACCAGAGAGAGAGAGGGGUGAAAAAUGAUGUGCGGAAUCUUUGGGUUCUUAGCUUGAAUUCCAGCGCCUCCAUUUAUGAAGCAAUGACUGGCGUCUCUGGUCUUACUGUCAAAGCAAGCGAGCGACAAGUCGAGAUGGGGGCGUCAAGACGCUCCAAAGAUUAUACAUAUUGCAAGAUCUUCAUAGAUUGGCUACAGCAAAGAAAUCCAUUUGUUUAUGAAGACACAAAGCUUCAUUCGCUUUCUUUUGGCUUUACGUCUGAUGAAAAUGAUUGUUUUUCAGUAGGUGAAUGCUCAAUCAAGCGGAAGGACCAGGUUAAGCCCAUCAUUUCCUUGCAAUCCAAAUUCCAAUUGAAUAAAGAAUCUGUCAUAGUCAAUCCAACGGUGUUGUUCACACGAUUGGUAGCCAUAGCGCAAAGGGAAAAAGAAGACAUCGAAUAAUUUUUUGCUUUCGAACUAAAACAAGAGCCAGUGUCCCUCUUUAAAAAGGUUAAUGAGAAAACCUGACAAGUCCUCAUUACGUAAAGCUGUGAUGAACGAUGAUGAAGCACUGGAAAAAAAUCAAAUGCAAAUUGAUCCUUAUUUCGUAGUCGAUGGUGAAGCGCUUUUGCAUAGAGUCCGUUGGAUCGAAAAUUCUACUUUUGAUGAACUAUUGCAAGUUUACGUUAGUUACGUUCGACGGCACUAUAAAUCUUGCAUUGUCUUUGAUCGAUACGAUGGUCCUAGCACGAAAUCAAAUGCGCGCAUGCGACGAACAGGUGAUGGAAAACGAUGCCCAAUUUCGAUGUUUUUGGUUUCAACAAAAUAACUUUUACCAAAGAAAGUUUUCUAAAUAACGAAGAUAACAAAACCUGUUUUAUCAGGCAUAUCAGCAUAAAACUUUAGCAAGACGGGCAAACAGUAAAGAUUUGUGAUGGUGAUGCUGAUACAACAAUCGCCGCAACCGCACUAAAAGAAGCCGAAACAAACCACCAAAAGGCCGUUGUAACAGUUGCCGAUGAUACUGAUGUUGCAAUGAUGCUUCUAUACCAUUGUCAAGAACAGAGGUUGGAUAAAGCCUUGAACAUGAAAGUUGUCUGUCAGAAAUGGAACCCUAUCCGACAGCAUAUUCCUUUUUUGCAUUCGUUUUCCGGCUGGGACACAAUAAUGGCUGAUGUUUGGGGAGACAACAGAGAUGUCAAAGAAGCUGCCAUCAAAGCGUUUUAAAUCAUUUAUGAUGGUAACGACUUGACCGAUUUAUGCACACUUAGGGGAGUUUGUUACAUAGUAUAAUAUAACAUUUAUUCACAAUACAAAAGGGUUUUCUUCAUUAAAUCUCAAAGUUUGAUCAGAGAAGACUUUAGAUACAGACAUUACCACCAAUGCUUCCUUAUGAUUUUUGGAGAUACAGGAUAUAUCUCGAUAUGUGUUGGAAAGGGAUCGAGUUCAUUUACAGAUAAUGAGAUAUUAGAGGAAGAAAACUUAAGCAAGUUGAUCCAAGCAAAUGGGGCUGGAAAAUUGAAAAUUCUCAAAUGAUGCCAAUAAAGACAGAUAAACCAGUCACCCCUGAUAGCCUCCUAAAAUCAUUAAAUGCAACUGCAAAGCUACUUUGAAGUCACCCUGUGCAACAAAUUUGUGUUCGUGCAGAAAACAUGGUCUUAGCUGUAUGCAGUCUUGUGGAGAAUGUCACGGUGAAACAUGUGAAAAUAAAGAGGUAUUCGAUGGUGAUAGUAACGUCGAAGAUGGUUUGGAAGAUGAAGAAGAGAAUAGAAACAUUUUUGAUAUAUUUG